AUGUCCAUUAUCACUCCUACUACUUUGCUUACUGUCAAUGAGCUCAUUGAUGAAGAAAACUGGACAUGGAAGACGGAUCUUGUUCGACAAAAUUUUCUUGCUCCGGAUGCAGAUGCUAUUCUGAACAUGCCAUUGCGCACUGGAGGUGGGGAUGAUUUCUUUGCAUGGGCUUUUGAAAACUCAGGUGUGUACAUUGUCAAGUCGGCGUACCGUGCUCUCGUGACUCAGAAAGAGCGUAAAGCUCUAGAGGAAAGGACGGCUACCGGUGCCUCAAAAUCUGAACAACAGAUGUGGACAUCUCUAUGGAAUCUCAAAGUUGUGCCAAAGGUUCGAGUUUUUUGGUGGAGAGUUCUCCGCGGGAUCCUCCCCGACGAAUCAACCCUUAAGCACAAACAUAUCAAACCUAUAAGCCUAUGCAAUGUAUGCUUGGCUAAAGAGGAGGAUCUUAUGCAUGCACUGGUGACUUGCUCCCAUGCACGCAGGUUCUGGGAUGAAGCGCAAGCAUGGCUCGAUGUUCGACUCCCACGUCUACAUCCAACAACAUGGGCGCGCGACAUCUUUUAUGUGAUGACCGUUUUCCGGAUCAUACGAGAGGACAUAUUGUGUCGGUGA
rnacentral:rRNA from 1 species